AAGGAUCAUUAACACGUAUCCAUACGUAUUAUAUACCGAACCGUGAACUUGUUUGUAAUAAUGAGAGAGAUGUGGAAUCAGUCUUUCGGGAUUGAUGAAGCGUUUCUGUACCUUAUUCAACCUUAUAAACCACUUGUAACCAUAUUGUACUAAACCUAAGAAUGUGAAUGCCUUCGGGUAAUCAUAUUUGUAUUUACGAAACGUAAAAACAAUUCUUAGCAACGGAUAUCUUGGUUCUC
rnacentral:misc_RNA from 1 species